rnacentral:rRNA from 1 species
AAAAGUAAGAAAGGGCGCAUGGCGGAUGCCUUGGCUCUCGGAGGCGAUGAAGGACGUGAUAAGCUGCGAUAAGCUCCGGGUAGGUGCAAAUGACCUUUGAUCCGGAGAUUUCCGAAUGGGACAACCCAAUAUCUUGAAGAGAUAUUAUUCUGCAUAGCAGAAGGCUAACGCAGGGAACUGAAACAUCUUAGUACCUGCAGGAAAAGAAAAUAAAUAAUGAUUCCCCUAGUAGUGGCGAGCGAACGGGGAGCAGCCCAAACCACCUAUGUUACGGCAUAGGUGGGGUUGUAGGACCACGUUGUGGCAUGAAAACUGGUGAGUGGAACCCUCUGGAAAGUGGGGUCAUAGACGGUGAUAACCCGGUACACGAAGCCAGUCCAAGCCUAGUGGUAUCCUGAGUAGCGCGGAGCACGAGGAAUUCUGCGUGAAUCUGCCGGGACCAUCCGGUAAGGCUAAAUACUCCCGAGAGACCGAUAGUGAACCAGUACUGUGAAGGAAAGGUGAAAAGCACUUCGAACAGAAGAGUGAAAUAGUUCCUGAAACCAUGCGCCUACAAGCGGUCGGAGCAGCUAUAUGUUGUGACGGCGUGCCUUUUGCAUAAUGAACCUACGAGUUACUUUUUCCGGCAAGGUUAAGGGGCUAAGCCCUGCAGCCGAAGCGAAAGCGAGUCUUAAUAGGGCGUCUCAGUCGGAAGGAGUAGACGCGAAACCAAGUGAUCUACCCUUGGGCAGGUUGAAGGAUGGGUAACACCAUCUGGAGGACCGAACCAAUAAGCGUUGAAAAGCUUCUGGAUGACCUGAGGGUGGGGGUGAAAGGCUAAUCAAACUUGGAGAUAGCUCGUACUCCCCGAAAUGCAUUUAGGUGCAGCCUUGACUUAUACUGGCAUGAGGUAGAGCGACUGAUAAGAUGCGAGGGCUUCACCGCCUAUCAAGUCUUGACAAACUCCGAAUGCGUGCCAGUUCUAUGUCAGGAGUGAGGGCAUGGGUGCUAAGGUCCAUGUCCUAAAGGAGAACAAUCCGGACCAACAGCUAAGGUCCCGAAAUGAAUACUAAGUUGAACUAACGAAGUCAGAUUGCUAAGACAGCUAGGAUGUUGGCUUGGAAGCAGCCAUUCAUUUAAAGAGUGCGUAACAGCUCACUAGUCGAGGAGUUUGGCGUGGAUAAUAAUCGGGCAUAAGUAUUCUACCGAAGCUUUGGGAUGUUUAAACAUCGGUAGGGGAGCAUUCCACUCCGCGUUGAAGGUGAAGCGCGAGCUUUGCUGGAGCGUGUGGAAAAGCAAAUGUAGGUAUAAGUAACGAUAAAGCAGGUGAGAAACCUGCUCGCCGAAAGACUAAGGUUUCCUGAUCAACGCUAAUCGGAUCAGGGUCAGUCGGGUCCUAAGGCUCAGCCGAACGGCGAGGCCGAUGGCAGAACAGGUUAAUAUUCCUGUACUACCUUAAGGAGUGACGUGGAGACGGAGCAGUGACAAUGCCGCCAUCUGACGGAAUAGAUGGUUGAAGGGUGUAGAUGUUGAUUGUGCCAGGCAAAUCCGGUGCAAGAGUCGAACCUGAUAGUAUGGAGCGUUCUUCGAACAAUCCAAUAGCGCAUGUAAUCAUACUUCCAAGAAAAUCCGCUAAACUUAAUCCUUGAGGUACCCGUACCGCAAACGGACACACGUAGUCGGGUUGAAUAUACUAAGGCGCUUGAGUGAUUCACGGUUAAGGAACUAGGCAAAUUGACCCUGUAACUUCGGGAUAAAGGGUCCUCAUCAGCGAUGGUGAGGCGCAGAGAAUCGGUCCAGGCAACUGUUUAACAAAAACACAGGGCUAUGCGAAAUGGAAACAUGAAGUAUAUAGCCUGACACCUGCCCGGUGCUGGAAGGUUAAGAGGAGAUGUCAUCGCAAGAGAAGCAUUGAAUUGAAGCCCCAGUAAACGGCGGCCGUAACUAUAACGGUCCUAAGGUAGCGAAAUUCCUUGUCGGGUAAGUUCCGACCUGCACGAAUGGUGUAAUGAUCUGGACGCUGUCUCAACCGUGAGCU